rnacentral:rRNA from 1 species
UACGUAGGGUGCAAGCGUUAAUCGGAAUUACUGGGCGUAAAGCGUGCGCAGGCGGUUUUGUAAGUCUGUCGUGAAAUCCCCGGGCUUAACCUGGGAAUGGCGAUGGAGACUGCAAGGCUAGAGUUUGGCAGAGGGGGGUAGAAUUCCACGUGUAGCAGUGAAAUGCGUAGAGAUGUGGAGGAACACCGAUGGCGAAGGCGGCCCGCUGGGCAGAGACUGACGCUGAGGCGCGACAGCGUGGGGAGCAAACAGG